rnacentral:lncRNA from 1 species
CUCAAACUUGUCAUUCUUCUUUGUGAAUCGGGUUAGGGGAGUCGCUAGGCUAGAAAAUCAUUCAACGAACCUGCAAUAAUAGCCCGCCAUUUCCAGAAAGUUGUGGAUAUCUUUAACUGAUGCAAUUUCUCUCAGCCGAGCACCGCGUCAACCUUUUCAGACUGACACUUCAUCCUUUGCAUACAGAUUCUUUCUUCUGAGAACAUGCAAAACCUUGGUUAGAUGGUGUGCAUGUUCUUCUCUGCUUUUUAGUAGACCAAGAUGUCAUCGAUGAACACGAUAAUAAAUUGAUCUAAGAAUUCUCUAAAGUCCCUGUUCAUCAGAUCCAUGA